rnacentral:rRNA from 1 species
AGUGAACGCUGGCGGUAGGCCUAACACAUGCCAGUCGAACGGCAGCACAGUAAGAGCUUGCUCUUACGGGUGGCGAGUGGCGGACGGGUGAGGAAUACAUCGGAAUCUACUUUUUCGUGGGGGAUAACGUAGGGAAACUUACGCUAAUACCGCAUACGACCUACGGGUGAAAGCAGGGGAUCUUCGGACCUUGCGCGAUUGAAUGAGCCGAUGUCGGAUUAGCUAGUUGGCGGGGUAAAGGCCCACCAAGGCGACGAUCCGUAGCUGGUCUGAGAGGAUGAUCAGCCACACUGGAACUGAGACACGGUCCAGAAUCCUACGGGAGGCAGCAGUGGGGAAUAUUGGACAAUGGGCGCAAGCCUGAUCCAGCCAUACCGCGUGGGUGAAGGAGGCCUUCGGGUUGUAAAGCCCUUUUGUUGGGAAAGAAAAGCAGCAGGUUAAUACCCCGCUGUUCUGACGGUACCCAAAGAAUAAGCACCGGCUAACUUCGUG